UAGCAGUCGGGUCCAAUUGAGUGACAGUUGAGAGAGUAAACCCCUCCCACUCCUCUACGCAUCAGACAAACUUUACCUUCGCGGGCAUUUUGAUCCACCUCAUCUCGAAAAGUUGUUAUUCGGAGAAGAAAAGGUUGCAGAAUAACAGCUAAUAUUAAUGGAUCAUUCCAGUCAAGAGAAAGUCAACUGAAACGUGGAUGUUUUCAUAACAGGCUUAAAGAUGAACAAAUUGAUAAAGAAACCCUCCUGCUGGACAUCCACUUCCAAAAGUGCACGCCACACUGUUGUCUACAACUCCCAGGAUAAGAAUCCUCUUUAGUAAGACUGCUCCGUGGAUAUGUCAGGUUAAGCAGUACUGAAACCGAAAGAACUAACACUCUUUAAAAUGUUUUGUGAGUUUAUAUGAAGAGGAAAGUUACGGUGUCCCUUUUUCACAUCCAUAACGCUUGUUUAUUUCUUUUUUUAUAGAAAACUUAUGCAUAGACUGAUAUUUUAUCAUAUAAAUGCGGUUCUAUCAACAAGGGUUUAGUAAAAUACUUUUUAUAGUGUUUUUAUGUCGCAUCGAUAACGCUGGACUUGCCCUAAAGCAUUUUACUCAUGCCACUUUGUUAACUGUAUAUGAAUUUUUGAAGUGUUAAGUUGUCUAACUAUUUAUAUUUACUUGUGCCACUUUAAUAACCUUGUUAAAUGUAUAUGUUUAAAUCUAAACUAAUGU